rnacentral:rRNA from 1 species
UACGGAGGGGGCGAGCGUUAUUCGGAAUUAUUGGGCGUAAAGGGCGCGUAGGCGGCCCUGUAAGUCAAAGGUGAAAUCCCUCGGCUCAACUGAGGAACUGCCUUUGAAACUGCAGGGCUUGAGGCCGGGAGGGGGUAGCGGAAUUCCCAAUGUAGCGGUGAAAUGCGUAGAUAUCUGGAGGAAUACCGGUGGCGAAGGCGGCAUCCUGGACCGACAUUGACGCUGAACGGCGAAAGCUAGGGGAGCAAACGGG